rnacentral:rRNA from 1 species
UGGGGAAUCAUGGUCAAUGGGCGAAAGCCUGAACCUGCGACGCCGCGUGAGUGAUGAAGGUCGUAAGAUCGUAAAACUCUUUUCAGGGAUCUUAAAGCCUGUCUGUCAACAACAGGCAGGUCUGACUCUCCCUGGAAGAAGCCCCAGCCAACUACGUGCCAGCAGCUGCGGUACUACGUAGGGGGCGAGCGUUAUUCGGAAUUACUGGGUGUAAAGGGUAUGUAGGCGGGCCUUCAAGUCGCGUGUCAAAGUCCAGUGCUCAACGCUGGGUGUGCACGUGAUACUGACGGGCUUGAGGGCUGGAGAGGUGGGCGGAAUUCCCGGUGUAGUGGUAAAAUACGUAGAGAUCGGGAGGAACACCAGCGGCGCAGGCGGCUCACUAGACAGUUUCUGACGCUAAGAUACGAAAGCGUGGGGAGCAAACA